UCCUUGAUGGUCUAGUGGUCAGGAUCUCACCGCAGCGGCCCGUGUUCGAUUCCCGGUCAGGGAA